CUACCCGGGUAUCUAAUCCUGUUCGCUCCCCGCACUUUCGCACCUCAGCGUCAAUUAUCUGCCGGUAACUUGCCUUCGCCAUUGGUAUUCUUCCACAUAUCUACAGAUUUCACCCCUACACGUGGAAUUCUAGUUACCCUUCAGUAAUUCAAGAUGUGCAGUUCUCAAUGCUGUCCCACAGUUAAGCUGUAGCAUUUCACACCAAGCUUGCUCAUCCGCCUACAUGCCCUUUACGCCCAAUAAUUCCGAACAACGCUCGCACCUUACGUGUUACCGCGGCUGCUGGCAC
rnacentral:rRNA from 1 species